CUUUACCGACCCCAGCCACAACGGCCGGUCCACCGGACGAUCCUGCCCAUACGUGGCCAGCAGCGCCUGAGCCUC
rnacentral:antisense_RNA from 16 species